rfam:Sporomusa sphaeroides DSM 2875 SPSPH_contig000001, whole genome shotgun sequence.
AAACAUGGUUGAAACAAGAUUAAUCGUGAGAAGUCAGCCGAGGCCAUAGUACUGGAAGUUUUUUUUUCAGGAAGGGC